UACGGGGGGAGCAAGCGUUGUUCGGAUUUACUGGGCGUAAAGGGCGCGUAGGCGGUCGUGACAAGUCACUUGUGAAAUCUCCGGGCUUAACUCGGAACGGUCAAGUGAUACUGUCGGACUAGAGUACAGAAGGGGCAACUGGAAUUCUCGGUGUAGCAGUGAAAUGCGUAGAUAUCGAGAGGAACACCAGUGGCGAAGGCGGGUCUCUGGGCCGUAACUGGACGCUGAGGAGCGAAAGCAUGGGGAGCGAACAGGAUUAGAACCAUACUCA
rnacentral:rRNA from 1 species